rnacentral:tRNA from 1 species
GGGCGAGUGGUGAAACGGUAGACACGCCAGCCUUAGGAGCUGGUGCCGCAAGGCAUGGAGGUUCAAGUCCUCUCUCGCCCA